rnacentral:rRNA from 1 species
GACGAACGCUGGCGGCGUGCUUAACACAUGCAAGUCGAACGGAAAGGCCCUGCUUUUUUGGGGUGCUCGAGUGGCGAACGGGUGAGUAACACGUGAGUAACCUGCCCUUGACUUUGGGAUAACUUCAGGAAACUGGGGCUAAUCCCGGAUAGGAGCUCCUGCUGCAUGGUGGGGGUUGGAAAGUUUCGGCGGUUGGGGAUGGACUCGCGGCUUAUCAGCUUGUUGGUGGGGGAGUGGCUUACCAAGGCUUUGACGGGUAGCCGGCCUGAGAGGGUGACCGGCCACAUUGGGACUGAGAUACGGCCCAGACUCCUACGGGAGGCAGCAGGGGGGAAUAUUGCACAAUGGGCGGAAGUCUGAUGCAGCAACGCCGCGUGCGGGAUGACGGCCUUCGGGUUGUAAACCGCUUUCGCCUGUGACGAAGCGUGAGUGACGGUAAUGGGUAAAGAAGCACCGGCUAACUACGUG